CUAAAAUUUGUUCCGAAUUGGGUCGAAGUUAUCGUCAUUGGUUUCUAUAAAGCAACAGGAAUUACAAUUGACUAAUUAAGAAAAGUUUUGUAUUGAAAAAUAAACCAAUAAUCAUCAUUCCAUGUUUUGUUCACCAAUUUUUAAUGUUAUAUAUCAUAUUUGAAAUAAUAAGUUUUUUGCUAGGAUUGCAGUUUAAGAAGGAUAAGCACUUCACAAAUAAUAGGCAAGAGAACUGCAGUGCAAAAUUGUUCGGUUUGCUGCAAGACUAAUUAUUGUAAUUUAGACGCAUGUAGUGCAAAUAUGUCAGGUAGUAACAUGAAAUUUAUACUACAUAUCUUAUGUUAACCAAUAACCUCCAUUGUUAUAGUUAUAAUGUUUUAACGUUUCAUGUUUUUAAUAAAAUUUAUACUUUAUUUGCUAUAGUCUCCAUAGUCUUAAUUUAGAAGAACUGUAUUAUAUAAACAUACUUAAGGGAAACAAGAAAUAAAUAUUGAAAAAAAAGAUUGAGAUUGGAUCGGCCUGAGCAGUUAAAUGCUGUGUUAUCACCACCGAUCAGAUCAACACGAUCAAGCACGAUCAAGCGAUCGGGUACCGGUCUAGCUCGGUCUCGGUCUGCAUGCGUGAUCGGGAGUGGUCUACCUUGGUCGGCAUGGCUCGGGCUUCCUACCCGAAUUUGUUUGACAUGUCAAAAAAAUUUGAGUAGCGAUCGAGUAGAUAAGCGGUCGAGAAGCGAUCAGUCUAGUUAAAAUCGUGUAUGACCGGCGUAUAGGUUUGGGUGAUUCAUUUUAGUCCAUUUUGUUAUUAUGUGAUAUUAAAUUAUUCGCUUUGAUUAACUAAAGGCAGGCGAUGGAAACAUAUUGUUAAUUGUAUAUAUCGCCGUAUAUAGGAACGGCAAUAAUUAUUUAUAAUUUUAAAAAAUGAACAUCCCUCGCACAUUGUAAGAUUUUUUGCCUGUGGACAUUACAAUGUUGUUGUUCGCAAAGUACGGACCUUUUAUUUCAAAUAUUUUUGACAGACACUUUGUCAAAACUAGUAUGUUUCGGACCAUUAUCUUUCGAUAUUAUGAUGCAACAAUUGACCUUUGAUCGCCGUUACAGGCAACGAAACUUCCCCUCACAGGAAAGCGCUAACAUACUAAUGUCCGGUUCUCUGUAUUUUUUUCUGAUAUUUCCCAAUAAUUGCGCCUAAAAAUUAGGUCAGCAAGUAUGCAUUGUAGUAUACAGAUGAAGAAGCAACUAUGAAAUAAAAUAGAGGAUAUUGAAUGAGUGUAAGUUCAAUAUUGAAUUUAUUGCACGAGUUGAAUAAAAUUAUAUUAUGUGAGUCUCUGGCGAGCAUAAUAUUAUUUUAUUCAACAAGUGCAAUCGAGCAUAAUAUUAUUUUAUUCAAUAAUUGCAAUGAAUUUAUUGCACGAGUUGAAUAAAAUUAUAUUAUGCGAGCCUUAUUAUUUUAUUCAACAAGUGCAAUAAAUUCAGUUAUGAACUUACACGAAUUUAAUAUUCUAUUUAUCAUAUACCCAAAAUCAAGACUGUUUAAAGUAAAAGAAGAGUCAUUUUUCAUUGACGCGCCUAUGGUACCCGAGUUCCAUUUCGAUGUUCUUUUAAAUUAUUAGGAUGAUAUUUUAUACUUUAUCACUCUGAAAUAGACGAAAUGUAUUAUUGCAAAAUCUGCACUGACCAGUAUUGCUGUUAAGCCAGCUUCCCCCUCUCUCUCUAUAUAUAUGAAGCCCCAAAAGGGAUAUGCGGUUGAUGAAAUUACUUUAUAUUCCAGCAGAUAAAGCAAUCUCACAAGACUAACUGUAAGUUCGCAAAAUUUCGUCUAUCAAUUUUAUUUAUUUAAUUUUAUAAUUUAUAAUGAAGCAUUACAAAAAGGUGAGUUGUUCCCAUAUUAAAAAACUUUAUAUAUUUGUUUUAAUUCCUUACAGAUCAUUUUGGUUGGACAGAUUGGGGGUCUUAUUCUGGUUGUUCUCAAACAUGCAGUUUUGGCACAAAGACACGGACAAGGGAAUGUUAUCAUCGUCUUGGUAUAAGCAUGAAUAAGACAUGUGUUGGAAAUGCAACCGAGCAACAACAAUGCUACAUAAUAAUGAACUGUCCUCCAGUGAAUGGAGGAUGGUGCUAUUCUUUUAAGUAUCCUCUCUGUAGUGGCUACAAUGCUGCAAGGGCUGGCGCUUGUAAAAACCCAUAUUUAAUCAACUUGGGAUGUGGUUGUCCGCCACCACAAUACGGCGGUUCACCUUGUCGAUGAUGUAGAACAUAAAGAUUGGCAUUAAAUAUAUUUUAUCACACUA